rnacentral:tRNA from 1 species
GGGAAUGUGGCUUAGUGGUAGAGUGUUUGCCUGCCAUGCAUGGAGUCCUGGGUUCGAUUCCUCAGUACCA